CAAACGUUUGGUCGCAUUGUGGAAGGAAGGGCAGACGAAGCUUAUCGCCUGCAGAACAAGGAUUGUGCCGUUAAAUAUUUAGUUGAAUAAUAAUCCAUUUUGAUGGAUUAAUGGGUGACUCGUUGAUUAUGGCUGUGACUCCGAAAAUGCUGCGCUGCAAGAGGCGCUGUCAGGUGAAGAAUGAAGAAACACGUUAUUUGCCUGGGCCUGGCAUAUCGAAUGUAGUGAAAGCACUCGCGUGAGCCAGCCUUCGGUUCACCUAGAUGAAGAAGACGUGAAACGCCUGAACACUUUAUCAGUCGCCACAUAGACCCGGACGUACUUGAUUCCCAUGUGGCGCUUCUAUACCUGUGACGUGCGCACGAAAUUCUCUGCAACCGGUUCCCUGCAAGGAACACAGGCCCGUAUUCACAACGACAUCUGAUGCCUAGAGAUGUUUGUCAGAUAAAAUUUCAGCCAAUCCGGACGAUGGACAUAUUAUUAAAUAGUUAAGGAGAAAUUCCAAAAAAAAGUUCUUACGGAAGAGAAGCUUUGUGAAUUCGUCCCCUGCUGUAUAUGCGGAAGAAAAGGACAUGUCUAUAAGCCAUUUUAGGUAAGCUGAAAAUUCAAGGGACAGCCUUUGUCACAUGCUGGUAUGCCCAAGCUGAAAUUAAGCGCUACAUCAGCUCCAACCGUGCUGCCACAAGCGGCUAUCUGUCGCAAGGAAGAAUGGAAGAUGGUCAGAAGAAAGAUGCUACUGCUGUUGGCAAACCCAGGAUCGUCAAGGUAGAUCUCUACGAAGAACCCCACGAAGCUACGGGCGAAGGCUUCUGCAAGGCUCCGCGACUGAGCUUCGUAGAGUGCAGCUGUCCGGAUGCAAGCGUACUCGGGAGGCAGAAGAAAGGCGGUGAGGCGGCAGGCAUAGCAAGUGCUGGUGGGUAGUCGGGCUUGCCUUCGUCAUGACGACCAUGGAGUCCGCCACCAGCCGCUGUUCGGGGUUUCUCUACGUGGGAAUCAUAGAACAGAUGCACGUUGACCGUGGCCUCGCCUCGUGGCCGGUAAACCUCGUCACGUCGGUGAACGACUUGGGGGUAAGCACGUCUGGCUCGGCGGUGUGGUACAAAUGUUCACAGCGUUGGAGAUUCGGAGCUGUAGCUC